rnacentral:rRNA from 1 species
CCAGACUCCUACGGGAGGCAGCAGUAGGGAAUUUUGCGCAAUGGACGAAAGUCUGACGCAGCAACGCCGCGUGGGUGAUGAAGGUCUUCGGAUCGUAAAACCCUGUCGUCAGGGACGAAGGUUGCAUGCCUAACAGGUGUGUAACUUGACGGUACCUGGAGAGGAAGCCCCGGCUAACUCUGUGCCAGCAGCCGCGGUAAUACAGAGGGGGCAAGCGUUAUUCGGAAUUAUUGGGCGUAAAGGGCGCGUAGGCGGUGAUUUAAGUGAGAUGUGUAAUCCCUGGGCUUAACCUGGGAACUGCAUCUCAGACUGGAUCGCUAGAGUGCUGGAGAGGGUGGUAGAAUUCCACGUGUAGCGGUGAAAUGCGUAGAGAUGUGGAGGAAUACCAGUGGCGAAGGCGGCCACCUGGACAGUAACUGACGCUGAGGCGCGAAAGUGUGGGUAGCAAACAGGAUUAGAUACCCUGGUAGUCCACGCUGUAAACGAUGAACACUUGGUGUGGUUGGGAGUUGACCCCUGCCGUGCCGUAGCUAACGCGAUAAGUGUUCCGCCUGGGGAGUACGGUCGCAAGGCUG